GAGCAAAAAUGCUGCUCAAAUGGAACACAAAAUCGAUUCCGCCGCAUGCGCGCCUCUCGUCGCAGUGGUGCCAGUGGAACGCUCAACAAGGCCACCGUUCCGUUGCUGCCUAAAAAUCGACUUGUAAAGGAACUACAAGACCGCGGACUCGACACUUCCGGGGUGCAGACAGUACUUGCCGACAGGCUUGUAGAGUUUUUAAGCGUUGAGGAUGGAUCGAUUUCAAGUCCUGCAGUGGUGAAAAAAGCUCCAGCUGCUGCCAAAAAGACGCCUGCCGCAAAAACUCCGAAAUCUGCGACAAAAGUUGAUUCAAUACGCCGUUCAACUCGAGGAGCUCAGCAAGUGAAAGAAGAAGAACCCGAAGAGGAGGAAGAAGAAGAAGAAGAGCAAGAUGAGCCUGUCCGGGAGACUCCGAAACCGAAACGAAGAGGACGACCAUCAAUAAAGCAGGAACCUCCAGAGGAAGAAGCCGCGACAGAAGAUGCUCCUGUUCCAGAAGUUCCAGAAGUCACCGAACGUCGAAAGAAGCAGAACAAGGAGAACGCCACUCCGCUCGUCAAGAAGGAUCUCAAAAGAAAAGCGCCGGCAGUGAAAAUCGAAGAACCCGAAGAGCCAGAACCUGGAACUUCUCAAAAUGAGCCAUCAACUUCACAGAAUGGAAAGACGACUCUGAGCACCACUCCGCAAUCAGAGGAGAGGCGAUCUCGACGGAAAAGUGCUCGACUUUUGGCUUCAGAACAAAUGGAUGUAGAGGAUGAAGAUGAGCCUGAAGCGGCGGCGGAUCCGGAGCCCCCAAAGAUUCAAGAGCCCGAGAAGAAGAAGCAGAAAGUUUCGAUAAAAGAAGAAGUUCCAGAUGUGGCGGCGGCUGUUGUUUCACAGGAGCCACAGGAGCCACCAAAAAAGCAGAAGCUGACUAGAAUAAAAGUGGAAGUUGAGGAGGAAGAUCCAGACUUUCAACCACCAGAUGAAUCGGAUCCCAUCAGGCAUUCGAAGCGUAUAAAAGAGCACUCGGAGCACAGUUAUGAUGCCCUUCAGCAGACGCAAAAGGAGAAAGCUGAACGAGCCGAGAAGCUGCUCAAGAAGCAGAGAACCUCAUCAUCAUCUUCUCAGCCAUCUCCAGCGGUUUCUGCACAACCAAAACCUGCGAAUUGGCAACUGGAAUGGGCGGCCAAGAUGGCAAUGCACAAGAAGCCUGCUCCGGCUACCACAAAUGGCGUGAAUCCGGAGCAUGUGAAGAGAAAAGAGUCUGGGGAGAAGCCUGCCGCCGAAGUUGCGACGAAAAAAAAGAAGAAGGAGGCGAUAGACACGAUUGAGGCAUUGAUGCUGUCCACGAUUAAGGAGAUAGUGGAGAAAAAGCCGUCUAUUGAUCGUCCAGAUCGUCCAGAUCGUCCAGAACGUCCAGAACGCACCGUCGGCGGUUCCGAUGCUUCCGACAGCUCUCAAGGAUUCCUGAACAAGCUGACAUCUCAAGCUGCUCCAGCUCCAUCUCCAAAAGCUCAAUAUCCAACCGGCGUGUUCUUCAAUCAACCUCUUCCACCACCACCAGCACAUCCUCCAAAGAUCGGUGCACAUCCUCUGGUCAUGGGUGGUGGUGGAGGUGUCCCAAUGAUUCCGAUGGUUCCAAUGCCACCUGGAAUGAUCGGGCUUCCACCAGGCCCUCCAGGCCGAAGACGUAAAUCGAGAUUCGAUCAGCCACCACCGGAGGCUGCCGCGGCUGCACAACAAUUUUAUGCGAGCACGCAUGCACCCCCACCGACCCUCACCACUGUUCCACAGAUUUCCCUUCGAGCACCACCAGGGCUGGCUUCUCCGAUUCCACCACCACCGCCAGGAAGGAAGCCGCUGAUUGAUGGAAUCCCACCGCCACCUCCGAAACCGCUCCUGGCGACUAGUGAUUUGCAAAGGCGUGUUCAAGAGAUCUUCUCGAGUGAAUCGUCGGCUCCAGCUGUUCCAGUGGUGUUUUCACCGAGAGAAGCUUCACCUCCACCACCGCCUCCGCCACCUCGUCCUUCUGCUCUGAAGCCGAAGACGGAGCCGAAGCAAGUUGUGCUGAAGCAAGAACCUGAAGAGCAUGACGACGACGAUGAUGAUUUUGUUAUAAGAGACACAGUUGUGGAGGAUGAGCCAGCUCCAAGAUGUCGAAUCGAACAGGAAGAAGCUUCAGCUCCACCAGCUCCGGUGGAGCCAUUGGAGCCAUUGGAUCCCCAACAAGAGGACAGUGCUCCGCGAGCCGUUAACAAGGUCGUAGAGCAGCGAAAAAAGGAAGCGUUGGCCGAGGAGCGUCGUCGUCGAGCAAUGGAACUUGGAGACGGAGAUGGAGAGUAUAAUCCGGAAGAUUCGGCGAUUGGUCAGGAUGAAAGUGAAAUCGUUUGGGAAUAUCAACCAAUAAUGACACGGAUGGAGGAUGAAGAAGAGGAAAUGGAGGAGAAUGAGGGUGAUGAUGAAGAUGAAGAUGAGAUGGUUAUGGAUGAUGAGGAAGAAGAUGAUGAUGAGGAUGAGGAAGAAGCAACGAAUCUAGAUGCUCCAGAAGCCCCAGAAGCUCUGGAAGCCCAGGAAGAUCCCGAAGAGCUCAACGUGCUCGAGCAAAACCCAAUGGAGCUCUUGAAGCGUGCUCUUCCGCUGCUCCACUCGUCGACAGUCACCGAGCAACCCAAGCAUGACUAUGCUCAGUUGGAACUUCCAAUAACAGAGUCUUUGUUGAAACGAACCGACGAUGAGCAGCCCGAGGAGGUCUAUUAUCACGGAGAUCCCGUACCGGAAGUCGACGAGAAUGAGCUAUAUGAGAUUGCGGCGGGUAUCAAGCCGAAAAAGAAGGAGAAGAAGGCGCUCGUGCAGAUUCCUGAAGAGGAGCGGGUGCCCGCUGAUAGCGAGACUAUUGAACUCGAUUAUUAUAACGCUGAUAUUCUCGUAAAAAGUGCGGAAAAGGACAUUUGGCAAAUUGAGCCAUUCAAUCAGGAUGGACUGGCUCUAAUGUGGGGCGGAAUUCGUUCAAAUUUCGGCAUCAAACUUCCAUUUAAACAAACCGGCAAGGACGCAUCUCAUCGAUUGGCAUUUCAAAUUCAAAUUGAUUCAUAUCAAUCAAUUCAACAUCUUCCAACAGAAUUUAUGGCUGACGGUGGUGAUGUACGAAUUGGUUUCUCACUCGCGUCGACGGCUUCAUUGAUUUUGGGAGAAUCGCCGGGCUCAUGGUGCAUUUCGGCCAGUGGAAAACGUGCGGCGAACAAUCAUUUCAGCGAUUUUGGAAAAUUAUUUGAUAUUGGAGACGUUGUCACUUGUAUCUUUGAUCUGUCGGUGGGAACAAUUUCAUAUCAGAUUAAUGGAGAAAAUGUUGGAAGCCCAUUCGAAUCUCUUCAGUUUAGAGAGGGCGAUGUGAUUUUUCCGACAAUUUGUACGAAAAAUGCGAAUAUCAAUGUGAAUAUGGGUCAGGAGCUGACUGAUGAGAAAUGGAAGAUCCCCGAGGAUCGUGAUUGGAUGUUCAUCACAGAAAUGGAUCGUGCUCAUCUCGUCCGAUCACAUACUGCACCGGCAGCCAAGAAGGAUUGUACUGUUCUGAUGACCGUCGGCCUUCCAGGAGUCGGAAAAACUACAUGGGUCCGUCGUUACCUCGCAGAACAUCCCCACGAACAUUGGACACUGAUCAGUGCGGAUGUUGUGAUGGAUGCGAUGAAGGUGAACGGUGUUCCGAGGAUCCGUCUACCAACGUUGAAACGACCGGAUUUCCUGCGUGGAAUUAUCGGAAAAUCGAUGAAUCGGCUGAUCCUCCUGGCACCUAGAAGACGCAAGAAUUAUAUUUUGGAUAUGACGAAUUGUUUUGCGGAGAAGCGGAAACGAAAGUUGAUGGCUUUUGAAGAGUUCAACAGGAAAUGCAUGCUUUUCGUGCCGGACGAGGAUACACAUCAGAAGAGGCUCAUUAAGCAGGAGCACGAGGAGAACGAGAAGCUCGACACGGAUGCAAUGAUGCAGCACAAGGCAGCAAUGUCUCUUCCGAUUGUUGCCGAGGGGGAACCUUGUGAGGAGCUGAUCUUUAUUGAUCCACCAGCUGGAUGUGAGCAAAUCGCGUUUGAUCGAGUCGGAAAAAUGAAUUAUGAUUGUCGAUCGUGGUUGGUGAUUCCAGGACGACGACGUGGUGGUGGUGGAUAUAAUAAUCAUCAUAAUCGAGGGGAUCGUGGUGGUGGAGGUGGAAACUAUCAUCACGGAGGAUAUCAUCAAUACAAUCGACCAUCAACUAGUGGGCCACCAUCAGGAGGAGCUCAAUACUCACCUAGAGGAUCCUCCUCAUCCACCAUGAACAUCACACAUACCACAUUCCCGUCUGUACCGUCGCCACUGGUUCGAGAGGAGCCGACGAUUAUUCUUCCGCCGGUCAAGAUUGGUCUACCAGUGGUGGUGUCUACGGCUGAUGACUCGUCGUCGCCUACUGUGGCGGCGGCGGUGGUGGUAGCUGGAAAUAAUCAAUUCUCAUUCCCCCCACCGCCUGUAGUGAUGGCUGCUCCGGCAUCGGCGGCUCCGCAGACUCCAAUUCAGCAGCAGCAGAAGAUUCAGCAGGUUCAGCAACCGAAGAAGGUUGAAGUUUCGCAACCCCUCACCCUGAACACGUCGUCACUUCCACGAAAAUCAACGGAUUCUUCUGCUGGACCAUUAUCAAUUGUAUCAUCUGCUGGAGGAAGAUCCUCAUCAUUCACUCAACAAUCGCCACGUUUCGCGACCACUCCGAUUCCAUCGGUGAUUCCUCCAACGACAACUCCAGUGCAACAAAUUCCAGUUAUGAUGAACAUAUCACAGCCACCACCACAGAUUAUGAUGAGUAUUCCACCACCAUCAAUGAUGGUUCAGCACAUGAGACAGCCACCGGUUGUUUUUCCGAUUGAUGUGACAGUACCACCGCCCAACUUCUCAGCUCCACCACCGAUGCUUCCAGCGUCAGCAGGCAUCCCACCGCAUCUUCUGAUGUAUCAUCAUCAUCAAAUGUCUGCACCUCCACCACCGACGACGACGCCUCAACAGGCACCUCAGUUCUCGUAUCCUCCACCACAAUUUGCGCCACGUUAA
rnacentral:misc_RNA from 1 species